CUUGACAUAUAUAAGAGGUCCAGCCUGCCCAGUGACUAAGUUCAACGGCCGCGGUAUCCUAACCGUGCGAAGGUAGCGUAAUCACUUGUUCUUUAAAUGAGGACUAGUAUGAAUGGCACCACGAGGGUUAUACUGUCUCCUUUUUUUAAUCAAUGAAACUGAUCUCCCCGUGAAGAAGCGGGGAUAAAUUUAUAAGACGAGAAGACCCUAUGGAGCUUUAAACAAUUAUAGCACUGGCCCACACCUCUUAUUCUUCUGAGACAUAAUUAUUAUACAGGCCAACAUGACUAUUAGUUUUAGGUUGGGGUGACCGCGGAGCAAAAACUAACCUCCACGUUGAACGGAGCUACUCCUGAACUAAAAGCUACAACUUUAAGCACCAAUAAACUGACAUCAAUUGACCCAAUAUAUUGAACAACGAAC
rnacentral:rRNA from 1 species